UACAGAGGUCCCAAGCGUUGUUCGGAUUCACUGGGCGUAAAGGGUGCGUAGGUGGUGAGGUAAGUCGGAUGUGAAAGCUCGGAGCUCAACUCCGAAAUGGCAUUGGAAACUACCUUGCUCGAGGGUUGGAGGGGGGACUGGAAUACUUGGUGUAGCAGUGAAAUGCGUAGAUAUCAAGUGGAACACCAGUGGCGAAGGCGAGUCCCUGGACAACUCCUGACACUGAGACACGAAAGCUAGGGGAGCAAACAGG
rnacentral:rRNA from 1 species